GCAUUGGUGGUGUAGCGGUAACAUUGGGUCUUCCCACUGGUCCUGCGAUCUGUGUGGCCUAGCUCCGGGUUCGACUCCCGGCCAAUGCA